AAAAUGCGAUACUUGGUGUGAAUUGCAGAAUCCCGUGAACCAUCGAGUUUUUGAACGCAAGUUGCGCCCGAUGCCAUCUGGUUGAGGGCACGUCUGCCUGGGCGUCACGCAUCACGUCGCCCCCACCAAACCAUCCUCAUUAGGGGAAGUGUUGUGUUGGGGCGGAGAUUGGUCUCCUGCGCUAAGGGCGUGGUUGGCCUAAAUAGGAGUCUUCUUACGAGAGACGCACGACUAGUGGUGGUUGAUACGACAGUCGUCUCGUGUUGUGCGUUUUAAAUUGUGAGCGGAUACUCUUGAAAUACCCUAACGUGUUGUCUUGUGACGAUGCCUCGAUCGUGACCCCAGGUCAGGCGGGACUACCCGCUGAGUUUAA
rnacentral:misc_RNA from 1 species